GGAGGGCAAGNCUAGGUACUAAGCCAUGCAUGUCUCAGCGCACAUGGAAUCGACAGUGGGUCUGUGAAUGGCUCCUUACAUCAGCAGUCAUCUCCGUGAUAGAGUGUGGUCGGAGCCAGCCCCCAAUUCCCUGCCAGGCUCCCAGUGGGACAUCCUCCAAAACCUUGUGGCUAAUACACGCGCGCCCAGGUCGGCCGUGGGAACGUCUGUCUCGACCCAAGCGGCACUGUCCGGCUUCGUCGACCUCUUGGCAGGCCGACGGCCGAUUGCGCCCAGCCGAUCGAAAGAUCAGCGCCCCUCCGACAGCCAGCGUUCCUGGUGGCUGACUCAGGCUGGUCCCCAAACCCUCGGGGACGGUCGCUCUGGCAGAGUUUUGCGGCGGUCCCUCCGUGGGCCGCCCGUGGCAUUGCUUGAUCACACGAACUUCUGACCUAUCAGCUGGGAUUGUGGUGUAGUGGACCACAAUGGCCGUGACAGGUACCGGAGAAUCAGGGUUCGAUUCCGGAGAGGGAGCCUGAGAGACGGCUACCACUGCCAAGGCGGGCAGCAGGCACGCAAAUUGCCCAAUCCAAAAACACCGCCCGAGACGCAGNGACGAACCGUAGCAAUCCCGCCAGGACUCAUACCCAGCGGGACUUGGAAUGUAUGCAAUCCAAACACAGUGAUGAGUAUCAACUGGAGGGCAAGUCUGGUGCCAGCAGCUGCGGUAAUUCCAGCUCCAAGGGCGUAUACUAUCAUUGUUGCUGUUAAAACACCUGUAGUCUGCCACUGGGUUGUGGGUCUGCUGGGUGGCCUGGCACCCUGGGCUGUGGGGUCUGCCGGUCCCUCGGGACUGUGUGGGAUCUCCGGUCUGGGGACCGUCGGGAUACAACCCCUGGCAGUAUGCUCCCACACCCAUUAUCAAGUAUCUCGGUGAUGUGAAUGCUCCUGCCGAAAGCCUNCUUCANUGGAGGCCCACCAGGCGGUUUAGUCCCCAAAGCAGGUGUAGGCAAGCCUCAGCCUGGCGUGGCNCCCUGUGUCCCACAGCNUCCAUGGUUCCCAGGGCCUCCACCGGAGUCCGUCACCAACGACACCCUGGAAAACUCAGUGUGCUUCAAGCGUCCUGUCCGUUAUGGCUGGAUGCCCAUCCAUGGAAUGUCAGAGCAUCGACCAAGUGUGGCUAUCAGUGUUGUGCUGGCCUUGGGGCCUACUCAGGGCAACGUGGUGCAUGCCUGGUGCAAGAGUCUGCUGGUGACCCGGCCUGGCCACCCUCUCCGGAGGUGUGUGCCUGUGUCAAAUUGCUUGUCUGUGCUUCAGUACUGUGUGGCAUGUGCUGUUCGGAGAUGAUGGACCACUCAGGGUGAAAGAUACAGCUGCGCCANAGGUGAAAUUCUUAGACCGCAGCUAGGUCCACUGC
rnacentral:rRNA from 1 species